GUGAUUCUUCUGCCUCAGCCUCCCAAGUAGCUGGGAUUACAGAAACUCCUCCUACCCAUGGAAUCUGCCAGCAGUUGGAUUCUUGACUAUCUUUAGGACUUUUCCUAAUCUCACCUUCUCCAUCUGUGAAAUGGAAAUAAUCAAAGGCUCAACAAUCCUUCUGUGAAAGAGGCAUAUUUUGUGGUGCUAUGUGCUGAUCUUCCACACAGCCAAAUGGAGGCAGAGGUCACAGAGGAACUAGAAGGAUGGAAAACUGCAGGAGAGUCUCGUUGCCAUCACUCAGUCAAUCAACCAGUUUUGGAUACCUGCCAUGUGCCAAGCCCUGACUGCA
rnacentral:lncRNA from 1 species